AAAGUUUGACCUCAAAUCAGGUAGGAUU
rnacentral:rRNA from 1 species